rnacentral:rRNA from 1 species
GACGAACUGUCCUAACGUUGUUAGGAAUCACUGGGCGUAAAGGGCGCGUAGGCGGACCAGCAAGUCCGGGGUGAAAGCCUCGAGCUUAACUGGAGAAGUGGCACGGAGACUGGAUGGCUCGAGGGAGGCAGGGGCAACUGGAACUUCCGGUGGAGCGGUGAAAUGCGUUGAUAUCGGAAGGAACGCCGGUGGCGAAGGCGAGUCGCUGGCUCUCUUCUGACGCUGAUGCGCGAAAGCUUGGGGAGCAAACGGG